UAAGCUGGCGGCGUUGCCUAAAUACAUGCAAGUCGAGCGGACGGAUGGGAGCUUGCUCCCAGACCGUCAGCGGCGGACGGGUGAGUAACACGUGGGCAACCUGCCUGUAAGACUGGGAUAACUCCGGGAAACCGGGGCUAAUACCGGAUAAUUCUUUUCCUCACAUGAGGAAAAGCUGAAAGAUGGCAUCUCGCUAUCACUUACAGAUGGGCCCGCGGCGCAUUAGCUAGUUGGUGAGGUAACGGCUCACCAAGGCGACGAUGCGUAGCCGACCUGAGAGGGUGAUCGGCCACACUGGGACUGAGACACGGCCCAGACUCCUACGGGAGGCAGCAGUAGGGAAUCUUCCGCAAUGGACGAAAGUCUGACGGAGCAACGCCGCGUGAGUGAUGAAGGUUUUCGGAUCGUAAAACUCUGUUGUCAGGGAAGAACAAGUACCGGAGUAACUGCCGGUACCUUGACGGUACCUGACCAGAAAGCCACGGCUAACUACGUGCCAGCAGCCGCGGUAAUACGUAGGUGGCAAGCGUUGUCCGGAAUUAUUGGGCGUAAAGCGCGCGCAGGCGGUUCCUUAAGUCUGAUGUGAAAGCCCCCGGCUCAACCGGG
rnacentral:rRNA from 1 species